GAAAAGUUAGUUUUCCCAUGUUACGGUUGGCAAUGCAUUUUCCAACAAUAAAAUCCACUCCGACCGUCUAGGAGACUACCUGAAAUUCAAAAAAAUAAAAAAUGGAAAUUCGCAACAAAAAAUUCAAAACCCAAAAACACCCAAUUGAAACCAAAUUCGUCUCUGAUCUACCCGGGUGUCCUUCAAAGUCUCUCAAAAAGAUUUUGUAAAGUCGAAACGCGGAAUCUAAUCCUGCUGCUACCAGGGGGUGAUGAUGAGAGAGAGGCGACUUUGUUGGAUGAAGAAUCAGACUGCUUCUGUUCUCAGUCUUACACGCAGGUUGCUGGUCUCAUAGAAGAGUACCAGAGUGGAUUCCGUCACCCGAAAAUGAGUUGUUUUUUCAGUUACCUUGGCAGGGGAAAAAUAUAAUAACAGAGAGAAAUGGUCCUACGUACAUUUCCUGUUCGGUUCAAGUUGCAAAUAUAUAUCUUUUUGAAAGCAAGAUUAAGUCGGAAUGAUGAGCAUCUCUUCAUACAUGAUUUUCACAUGCCGUUUUAUCAUAAUUAACUAGCUCAAAGUAAUGAGAACGUAUGAAGAAACAAUAAUUCAAUGGCAGACAUACACUGACAUGAAUAAAAAAGCAGCUUUAUUCAUGUGGCAGACAAAAAAAAAGCUAGACUUGAAAUAGCCAUUCAUGGUAGGACUUCUUAUUUGAAGAUAUGGUCUUGCAGAAGUUCCACUUGAACCAUUUCUAUUCGCACAAAAUUACUUAAAAUGUGAUUUUCAAUUAUUAUACUGUUGUGAUUAGGCAUGAGCAGGUGAAAUUAGAACCAUUGGGUACUAGGCAUUGCGGUUCCUGUUCCUAUCCAAAACUUGUUUUGUCGUAGUUAGUUUCCGAAUUUUAUGGAACUAAGAUUGUGUAGACAAGUUUUAAUUCUACUACUAUAAAGAAUCGGAACCAACUCAAUAAUAGGAUCCAGAAUCAAUUUUAGGGUUUCUGAUAGGGGUUAAAAUAACUAUGGUGAUUAUAGACAUUUAUGAAACUUUGAAGGGGAUUUUAUAUAACAAAGAUAGUUCAAAUUUAGAUUUUAGAAUUGUUUGCAAUAUCUUGUCAAUUUAUGGUGCCAUUGUAAAAAUCUAUAAAUUUGUUUGCUGCUCUGGUGCUCCAUACGCUUCAUGCUGCUGCUUCUCUCAGUCUUAAAUGUCGCCGUCGGUUCUCAAAAAUACCCCAACAAUGUAGUAUUCUUGAUGAUUUUGACCACCUUCUUCAAGAAUGCACGAAAACUCACCUACUCAAGCAAGUGCACGCCGCACGCCGCACGCCGCACGCGUAAGUCAUUGUGAAUGGCUCCAGUAACUUUGCUUCAUGGCUGCUGCAGUCUCUUCUUUAUUCUCGUGAGCUUCUUUUUGAGUCGCAAAAGGUUUUCCAAACAACCCCAGUUCGUUGUUUGUCGUCUUCUUUGUUCUUGUAAAUUUUUCGAGGAAAAGGUGACUUCAAAGUGGUGCCUUUGUACAGAACUCUGCAGUUUUCACAAAGUAGUGCCUUCGUAUAUAUCCACAAACAAGUGCAUGCGUGUACGUCAAUAUGCUAAAACUUCAGUUUCUCUUAUUCCAUCUGAAGGAUUUACCCAGGAAGUUGACAAUGAAAAUGAAACUGAUGGUCCACCUGCGGCUACAACUUUCUUCACGCGUAGGUAUACGAUCGCUAUUCAUACUGAAAUAUCUAACUUAUUUUCAAAUUUAACAUUACAUAAAUGAAGUGUUUUGUCUUUUCAUUUCUUAUUGAUCAUAUCGUUGAUUAGUCUUUCAAAGUUCACUUUCAAAAUGACAUCAAUUUUGGAAAUUAAUAAUAGCAGAUUUUCCAUAGAUGAGAUUCCAUGCAUCUGCUUCAGUCUUACUCUUUUGUUUUAUGGUCCAAGAUUCUUCAAAGACUUUGAAGGUAGAAAAUACGCAAAACUAUAGGCCAAAAGAGAAGUCUAUAGAAUUAGCCACAAGUGUAAACAAGUGAGUCAAUUUUGUGAUUUCACUUUGAUUAGUGCAGACUGCAGACAAAACAUGCGUGUCAAGAAAAAAAAAAAUUUAAAUUAUCCUGUAAAAUGAAGGGUUAUGCAGACCAUAUCUCAUAAUUUUGAUUCCUAUUUGAUGACUUCCUAGAAUUUAACUUUUGAUGUAAGUUUGAGGGCAUGGAAUGAUGUAAUGCAUAUUGAAAGUAAAGUCCAUCGUACAGGUUCUGGCUCCAAA